UUACGGCCACAUCAUGUUGAAACACCUGUUUCCAUAUGAUUACUGAAGUUAAGCAGCAUCAAUCCUGGUCAGUAUCUAGAUGGGUGACCACUUGGAAAUACCAGGUGCUGUAA